rnacentral:rRNA from 1 species
GACGAACGCUGGCGGCGUGCUUAACACAUGCAAGUCGAACGGAAAGGCUCCAGCUUGCUGGAGUACUCGAGUGGCGAACGGGUGAGUAACACGUUGGUGAUCUGCCCUGCACUUCGGGAUAAGCCUGGGAAACUGGGUCUAAUACCGGAUAGGACCGCACUUUGGUGUGUGUGGUGGAAAGGUUUUUCUGGUGUGGGAUGAGCUCGCGGCCUAUCAGUUUGUUGGUGGGGUAAUGGCCUACCAAGACGGCGACGGGUAGCCGGCCUGAGAGGGUGGACGGUCACAUUGGGACUGAGAUACGGCCCAGACUCCUACGGGAGGCAGCAGUGGGGAAUAUUGCACAAUGGGGGAAACCCUGAUGCAGCGACGCCGCGUGGGGGAUGAAGGCCUUCGGGUUGUAAACUCCUUUCGCUAGGGACGAAGCUUUUUGUGACGGUACCUGGAGAAGAAGCACCGGCUAACUACGUG